CUGCAAGAACAGCAGGGACAGCAGUAGAGUCCUCCACAGGGCAAUUCUAGCUCAGGGCAGGAGUCUAACUGUGGUGCUUCACAUCCCAUCCUGGAGGAGACAUCUUCCUUUUUCCUAUUUUGAACAGAUGAGGGUUAUAAGGUGACUGGCCUCGAGUCUUCUACUGUAAGCAGAAACAGACAAUCAAGAGAAGAGAGUGUGAAGACCUACAGUGUACAAGCCCUCCAGACCGCAGGGAGCAGACAGGAGUGGCAGACUGCUUCCCCCCGAGGACUCUGCUCUUCCACCCAACUUGUCUCCUCAGGCGAGGUCUCGGUUUCUCCCCCCACCAAGCUGGUUCAACACUUGCCUGUCUGCCACUGCCGUGACGCUGCCUGCUCAGCCAGGGCGCCGUGCACUGCCGGACGGCUCCUAUUUACUGCUUCCUAGAGAAACCUCUGGCAGACAUCGACGCAGUCGUACCUGAUUGCACAAACCCUGACGCUGGUUCUUUGGAUAAUUUGUAAGGAAAAAUGAGGCCAUAGAGUGGUGUGGAGUGUUUUGCCCAAGGCAAAGGAGUUCUGGGGUAAAGUCAAAGCCAGAAAUCAAAAGGUCCCAGACUCACGCUCAGUGCAUGAAAUCACAUCAGACAACCAGGAAUGCCAUAUGGUAGCUAAUAUCUGUCAGAGAGACUUUCAUAACCUAGAGGUGUUUUGUUUAGCAAUACACUUUCCCCGAUACGCUUUCUCAUGUUCUCCCUGUGUUUUCCAAAGGAGCUUGUGGCUACCUGCUACUGUCUCACAUCUGAGCCUCUUGUUCACCAAUGCUCAUAGGAAUAUCAUAUAUGAACUCCCUCCUUAUACAAACACUAAGAUAUAUUUCGCCCAAAGGGGUUCCAAGGAGUGUUUCACCACUGGCAGCACAUCAUACACUCUUGGCAGCAAUCAGCCCAUCCAUGCUUGCAAACACAGCCAUCUCUGCAGCGAAGCACAGCAGUUAUGGGCUGUCAUAUAAAGCAACGCCGCUUAAAUGUUUACUACUAUAUAGAAACCUAUUGGGAGCAGCAGGAACUUUCAGAGAGAUAGAAAGCAAUUAAUAUGUGGCCUCACAAAAUGUCAACAACACCUUCCUUGUAGAUACCCCACCCAAAGCUGGCUAAAGCCUGGAUUUUAUCACUAGGCUCAAGAUACUUCUUAGAGGAAGAAGAGAAAGCCGGGGGGGGGUUACGCUUCAGUUCCUGGAAUCAAGCGAUUGUGGAAGACUCUCAAUUGUAUUUAAAAAAACAAGUAAAAAGA